rnacentral:miRNA from 1 species
GAAAAUGAAUGAUGAGGAUGGGGA